rnacentral:rRNA from 1 species
UACGAAGGGGGCUAGCGUUGCUCGGAAUCACUGGGCGUAAAGGGUGCGUAGGCGGGUUUUUAAGUCAGGGGUGAAAUCCUGGAGCUCAACUCCAGAACUGCCUUUGAUACUGAAGAUCUUGAGUCCGGGAGAGGUGAGUGGAAUUCCUGGUGUAGCGGUGAAAUGCGCAGAUAUCAGGAAGAACACCCGUGGCGAAGGCGGCUCUCUGGUACGUGACUGACGCUGAGACGCGAAAGCGUGGGGAGCGAACAGG